rnacentral:tRNA from 1 species
AUAAUAAUAGUAUAAAAAGUACAUUAAUUUUCCAAAUUAAGAGUUUAUUGAAAAUAAUUAUUAUA